rnacentral:rRNA from 2 species
UGGGGUGACUGCGUACCUUUUGUAUAAUGGGUCAGCGACUUAUAUUCUGUAGCAAGGUUAACCGUAUAGGGGAGCCGAAGGGAAACCGAGUCUUAACUGGGCGUUAAGUUGCAGGGUAUAGACCCGAAACCCGGUGAUCUAGCCAUGGGCAGGUUGAAGGUUGGGUAACACUAACUGGAGGACCGAACCGACUAAUGUUGAAAAAUUAGCGGAUGACUUGUGGCUGGGGGUGAAAGGCCAAUCAAACCGGGAGAUAGCUGGUUCUCCCCGAAAGCUAUUUAGGUAGCGCCUCGUGAACUCAUCUUCGGGGGUAGAGCACUGUUUCGGCUAGGGGGUCAUCCCGACUUACCAACCCGAUGCAAACUGCGAAUACCGAAGAAUGUUAUCACGGGAGACACACGGCGGGUGCUAACGUCCGUCGUGAAGAGGGAAACAACCCAGACCGCCAGCUAAGGUCCCAAAGUCACAGUUAAGUGGGAAACGAUGUGGGAAGGCUCAGACAGCCAGGAUGUUGGCUUAGAAGCAGCCAUCAUUUAAAGAAAGCGUAAUAGCUCACUGGUCGAGUCGGCCUGCGCGGAAGAUGUAACGGGGCUAAACUGUGCACCGAAGCUGCGGCAGCGACGCUUAUGCGUUGUUGGGUAGGGGAGCGUUCUGUAAGCCUGCGAAGGUGUCCUGUGAGGGAUGCUGGAGGUAUCAGAAGUGCGAAUGCUGACAUAAGUAACGAUAAUGCGGGUGAAAAGCCCGCUCGCCGGAAGACCAAGGGUUCCUGUCCAACGUUAAUCGGGGCAGGGUGAGUCGACCCCUAAGGCGAGGCCGAAAGGCGUAGUCGAUGGGAAACGGGUUAAUAUUCCCGUACUUGGUGUUACUGCGAAGGGGGGACGGAGAAGGCUAUGUUGGCCGGGCGACGGUUGUCCCGGUUUAAGCGUGUAGGCUGGUUUUCCAGGCAAAUCCGGAAAAUCAAG